UUUAAAUUUAAAAACCGAUAUUAUUUAUAUGGAAUAAAUCAAUAUACUUUAAUAAAUCGUUGUUUUGAAAAAAUAUAGCUAUAGGUCAAACGAACAUAUUUGAAUAUAUAAAUAAAUAAUUAAAACAUAUUUGUGUAGAAAUGUCAAAGGGAUCACAUACUAAUAAAGUGUUAUAUAAUUUUCAGAUAAUUCCGAGCUGGUAUAGACGAACCUUACCGAAUAAUCCAGGCGUGUAAACCGGAAACGGUGCAGUGUAAUCCAUUCCCUCGUCCUCGUAGAUAGUUUGCUGAUAAUAGAAGCCAUUGUUUGUUGGCUUAAUUGGUCUACGGUACAGUUCUUGCGCAUAUGGGGAACCAUCGUAUUCCGGUUCUCUCGAUGAAGACCCUCAAUUUUACAGGAUUUUCUCUCGUGUAUUACCAGUAUUCCGAGUACGUCCGCACAUCGCGGGAAGAUCGUUCCUCGUUCGUGGGAGGACGUCGCGUACGGCGCGGCACCUCGGCGACGCUGUGACGGCGCAGAUAAGCGUAAUUCUCCAGGUCCCACGGGUCCACGUAAUGACGACCGCCAACAUCGCUUCCGGAACUGCCGGAGGUCGAGUUUCGAGAGUCCACCGUACUCCAAUAGAUCGACGAUUCCGCCGGCAUUUUCUUCUAUCUCGAGAAUGCAAUGAAGCUUUUUUGAAGAAAGAAAACAUGUUAAAUUCCUUUUGCGAAAUGUUUCUUCCGGUCUUAUGCAAUAUAUUUGAUUUAUAUAUAUUUAUCUAAAAUUAA